rnacentral:lncRNA from 1 species
CCGCGCAGUGGUGUAAUUGUUUUCUUUAAUUUAUGUAAUUAUUUUAUGUCAUGAAAAUGUUUGAAAGUAAAGUUUUAUAUAUUUUUGUUAUAAUUAGUUGAUGUUAUAGGGUAUCAUUUUCUUAUACCGGUGAUUUGAAGUUUGUCCUUGAUUUGUGGUUGAACCUGUAAUCCCGGUAACCUAAAUAUAAUCCAAUUAGAAUUUUAUGAAAAAAUAUUAUUUUAAAAUUCAGUAAAACCCGCAAAAAAUCACAAAAAUUUGGAACCCGACAACCUGUUGAACUACUGGUUAGACUAAUAAGUUUUUUUUAGGUUUUUUAAUUUUUUAAUUUAAAUUUUUUUGUAUUUAGAUGAAAUGGAAUUUUACUAAUGCGAUUUUUUUAUUAAUAUUUCUUUAUGCUGUCGGAUAUCGAUUAUGCAUCUUCUUAUUUUUUAAUAGCUAAUAUGUUAUUAUUUUAUUAAUUUAAUUAAUUUAUUGAAGCGUUGUUCGUCUGCAGUCCACCCAGUAUAGAAGGUCAUCCAGUUUAGUGUCCGGUUCGGUUUUUCUAUUAGGUUAUACAUUAUUUGUUUGUAUGAAAUGUGUAGUAUUUGUUUUUGACAACAGAUUUUACUGUUUAUGAUAUAUAUUAUUGGUGCUUACAUAGUUUCUAAUAUAACCUACUAUAUUCUAUUGUCUAUAUAAUCAUAGGUUUAAUUUUUUAUCUAUACUAUUAAAAGAAAAGCAGUCUUUAAAAAUCUACUUAUAAAAGGUUGUUAGACCCUUUUCUUUUUCUAUUUUUUGGUCUUCCUUAUAUAUUAUAUGUUAUCCC